GAUGAACGCUGGCGGCGUGCCUAAUACAUGCAAGUCGAGCGAACAGACGAGGAGCUUGCUCCUCUGACGUUAGCGGCGGACGGGCGAGUAACACGUGGAUAACCUACCUAUAAGACUGGGAUAACUUCGGGAAACCGGAGCUAAUACCGGAUAAUAUAUUGAACCGCAUGGUUCAAUAGUGAAAGACGGUUUUGCUGUCACUUAUAGAUGGAUCCGCGUCGCAUUAGCUAGUUGGUAAGGUAACGGCUUACCAAGGCAACGAUGCGUAGCCGACCUGAGAGGGUGAUCGGCCACACUGGAACUGAGACACGGUCCAGACUCCUACGGGAGGCAGCAGUAGGGAAUCUUCCGCAAUGGGCGAAAGCCUGACGGAGCAACACCGCGUGAGUGAUGAAGGUCUUCGGAUCGUAAAACUCUGUUAUUAGGGAAGAACAAAUGUGUAAGUAUCUAUGCACGUCUUGACGGUACCUAAUCAGAAAGCCACGGCUAACUACGUG
rnacentral:rRNA from 1 species